GCGUGCCUUUUGAAGAAUGAGCCUGCGAGUUAGUGAUGCGUGGCGAGGUUAACCCGUGGUGGGGGAGUCGUAGCGAAAGCGAGUCCGAUAAGGGCGUGAGUCGCGUGUUCUAGACCCGAAGCGGUGUGAUCUAUCCAUGGCCAGGAUGAAGCGUCGGUAAGACGUCGUGGAGGUCCGAACCCACUUCAGUUAAAAAUGGAGGGGAUGAGUUGUGGAUAGGGGUGAAAGGCCAAUCAAACACCGUGAUAGCUGGUUCUCCCCGAAAUGCAUUUAGGUGCAGCGUCGCGUGUUUCGUGGUGGGGGUAGAGCACUGGAUGGUCUAGG
rnacentral:rRNA from 1 species